rnacentral:rRNA from 1 species
GACGAACGCUGGCGGCGUGCUUAACACAUGCAAGUCGAGCGGAAAGGCCCUGCUUUUGUGGGGUGCUCGAGUGGCGAACGGGUGAGUAACACGUGAGUAACCUGCCCUUGACUUUGGGAUAACUUCAGGAAACUGGGGCUAAUACCGGAUAGGAGCUCCUGCUGCAUGGUGGGGGUUGGAAAGUUUCUGCGGUUGGGGAUGGACUCGCGGCUUAUCAGCUUGUUGGUGGGGUAGUGGCUUACCAAGGCUUUGACGGGUAGCCGGCCUGAGAGGGUGACCGGCCACAUUGGGACUGAGAUACGGCCCAGACUCCUACGGGAGGCAGCAGUGGGGAAUAUUGCACAAUGGGCGGAAGCCUGAUGCAGCAACGCCGCGUGCGGGAUGACGGCCUUCGGGUUGUAAACCGCUUUCGCCUGUGACGAAGCGUGAGUGACGGUAAUGGGUAAAGAAGCACCGGCUAACUACGUG